AUAUUACUCCCUCCGUCCGGAAAUACUUGUCUUAGAAAUGGUUGUAUUUAGACUUAUUUUAGUUAUAGAUACAUCUAUUUUAUUCAUUUUUAGGACAAGUAUUUUCGGACAGAGGGAGUAUAUG
rnacentral:pre_miRNA from 1 species